rnacentral:rRNA from 1 species
UCUGGUUGAUCCUGCCAGUCUGCAAAGCUUGACUUGGAAAUUAAGCCAUGCAUGUCUAAGUAUAAGUAUUAUAAAGCGAAACUGCGAAUGGCUCAUUAAAACAGUUGUAAUUUAUUUGAUGAUUUUCUUACAUGGAUAACCGUGGGAAACUAGGGCUAAUACAUGCGUAAGACCUUCACAGGUCGUAUUUAUUAGUUUCAAACUAAUGCAGCCAACUGCAUUGUGAGGAAUCAAAAUAACUGAUCGAAGCUCAUUCUUGAGCUAAAUCAUUCAAGCUUCUGACCUAUCAGCUUGUUGUUAGUGUAUUGGACUAACAAGGCGGUAACAGGUAACGGAGAAUUGGGGUUCGAUUCCGGAGAGUCAGCCUGAGAAACGGCUGACAUUUCUACGGAAGGCAGCAGGCGUGAAAAUUACCCAAUCACAAUUCGUGGAGGUAGUUAAUAGACAUAACAAUUCCGGCCUAUUAGGUUCUGGAAAUGUAAUGAAGUCAAUUUAAACAAUUGGCUGAAAUCCAUUGGAGGGCAAGUCUGGUGCCAGCAGCCGCGGUAAUUCCAGCUCCAAUAGCUUUGUUGAAAGUUGCUGCAGUUAAAAAGCUCGUAGUUGAAUAUCCGGCGUCUCUGACGUCUGCCCGUCACGUCUUACGAUACCGCGAGGUUUUGUAUGUUCGUUUGGGCGUUUACUGUGAACAAAUAGAGUGCUCAAAACAGGCUUUUGCUUGAAUUUUUUAGCAUGGAAUAAUAAAAUACGACUUCGCUCAUUUUAUUGGUUAUUGGACGGAGUAAUGGUUAACAGGAACAGUUAGGGUUUUUCGUAUUUAUAAGUCAGAGGUGAAAUUCUUAGAUUUUAUAAGGACGAACUAAUGCGAAGGCAUUAAACAGGGAUGUUUUCAUUAAUCAAGAACGAAAGCGUUGGGAUCAAAAAGGAUCAGAUACCCUUGUAGUCAGCGCCGUAAACGAUACUGACUAGGGAUUGGUGAGGUAAACCCUCAUCAGCACCUAAUGAGAAAUCAAAGUCUUUGAGUUCUGGGGAGAGUAUGGUCGCAAGGCUGAAACUUAAAGGAAUUGACGGAAAGAUACACAAGUCGUGGAUUCUGCGGCUUAAUUUGAUUUAACACGGGAAAACUUACGCAGGCAAAAAGUUAAAAGGAUUGACAGCUUGAUAGCACUUUCUUGAUAUGACAGCGAGUGGUGCAUGGCCGUUCUUAGUUGGUGGAGUGAUUUGUCAGGUUAAUUCCCUAAACGAACGAGAUCUUCGCUUGCUAACUAGUCGUCGUUAAAAUCUAGCGAUUGACUUCUUAGAAGGACUACGGUUCCCAAAACCGUGGAAGUUGGAGGCAAUAACAGGUCCGUGAUGCCCUCAGAUGUUUGCGGCCGCACGCGUAAUACCAUGACUGGCACAAUAAGUUCACCUAAUCCGAAAGGACUCGGGUAAUCUUCAUAAUGCCAGUCGUGCUUGGGAUAGAACUUUGCAAUUAUGGUUCUUGAACGAGGAAUGACUAGUAAGCUGGAGUCACUAACCCCAGCUGAUUACUGUCCCUAUCUUUUGUACACACCGCCCGCCGCUCCCAUCGAUUGAGUGUGUUGACGAGUUCUUCGGAUUGACGUCUCUUAGAUGUUGAGAAGUUGUGCAAGUUGAUUCACUUAGAGAAGGGAUAAGGCGUAACAAGGUU